GGGAUAACCUUGCGAAAGUAAGACUAAUACCCAAUGAUAUCUCUAGAAGGCAUCUGAAAGAGAUUAAAGAUUUAUCGGUGAUGGAUGGGGAUGCGUCUGAUUAGCUUGUUGGCGGGGUAACGGCCCACCAAGGCAACGAUCAGUAGGGGUUCUGAGAGGAAGGUCCCCCACAUUGGAACUGAGACACGGUCCAAACUCCUACGGGAGGCAGCAGUGAGGAAUAUUGGUCAAUGGACGAGAGUCUGAACCAGCCAAGUAGCGUGCAGGAAGACGGCCCUAUGGGUUGUAAACUGCUUUUAUAAGGGAAUAAAGUGAGUCUCGUGAGACUUUUUGCAUGUACCUUAUGAAUAAGGACCGGCUAAUUCCGUGCCAGCAGCCGCGGUAAUACGGAAGGUCCGGGCGUUAUCCGGAUUUAUUGGGUUUAAAGGGAGCGUAGGCCGGAGAUUAAGCGUGUUGUGAAAUGUAGAUGCUCAACAUCUGAACUGCAGCGCGAACUGGUUUCCUUGAGUACGCACAAAGUGGGCGGAAUUCGUGGUGUAGCGGUGAAAUGCUUAGAUAUCACGAAGAACUCCGAUUGCGAAGGCAGCUCACUGGAGCGCAACUGACGCUGAAGCUCGAAAGUGCGGGUAUCGAACAGGAUUAGAUACCCUGGUAGUCCGCACGGUAACCGAU
rnacentral:rRNA from 1 species